CGUUCGAUAGCUCAGUCCGGUAGAGCAGCCAUCGAAGGAAUGGCCUGUCGCGGGUUCGACUCCCGCUCGAACAC
rnacentral:tRNA from 5 species